rnacentral:rRNA from 1 species
CAAUAGCGUAUAUUAAAGUUGUUGCGGUUAAAAAGCUCGUAGUUGGAGUUCUGCCAGGUGACACUCGUCCGCCCAAGUGGUGUGUACAGGGUGUGCAUCUGGCCCUUUCAAGGGGAACGUGUCUGCACUUCAUUGUGUGGUGCGAGAUCCUUGAUUUUUACUUUGAGGAAAUAAGAGUGUUCCAAGCAGGCUCUCGUCGUGCAUAGCUCAGCAUGGAAUAAUAGCAUUGGACUUCGUUUCUACGCUGUUGGUUGCAAGAAGCGAGGUAAUGAUGAAGAGGGAUAGUUGGGGGCAUUCGUAUUUAACUGUCAGAGGUGAAAUUAUUGGAUUUGUUAAAGACGGACUACUGCGAAAGCAUCUGCCAUGGAUGUUUUCAUUGA